rnacentral:rRNA from 1 species
CCUACGGGUGGCAGCAGUGAGGAAUAUUCGUCAAUGGACGAGAGUCUGAACCAGUCAAGUAGCGUGAAGGAUGACUGCCCUCUGGGUUGUAAACUUCUUUUAUAUGGGAAUAAAAUGUUCCACGUGUGGGAUUUUGUAUGCACCAUAUGAAUAAGGAUCGGCUCACUACGUGCCAGCAGCCGCGGUACUACGGGGGAUACGAGCGUUAUGCGGAUUUGUUGGGUUUAAAGGGAGCGUAGGUGGAUUGUUAUGUCAGUUGUGUAAGUUUGCGGCUCAACCGGAGAAGUGCAGUUGAAACUGGCAGUCUUGAGUGCAGUAGAGGAGAGCGGAAUUCGUGGUGUAGCGGUGAAAUGCGUAGAUAUAACGAAGAACGCCGAUUGCGAAGGCAGCUCUCUGGACUGUAACUGACGCUGAGGCUCGAAAGUGUGGGGAGCAAACAGGAUUAGAUACCCCAGUAGUC